rnacentral:ncRNA from 1 species
GAGAGCCGGAUGCGUAGAAAUGCGCAAGUCCGGUUCGGAGGGAGGGUAACGGGCGACUCUUGAGCGUCACGUACCCUACCCUAC